AGCUUCACUUUUUUAGGCCAAAUGGUUGUGUUGUGAAACUGUUAGUAUAACCAUAUUUCAAGUGAAGCAAGAAAUUUGUUCCUCUCGCUAUCCUGUGCUACUUUUAUAGUGCAUUAGGACGUUGGGGAACGAUAUUU